rnacentral:rRNA from 1 species
AUUGUUGUAACAGAUGUAAUGGUUGUAACUGCUGUAACAGUUGAAACUGCUGAAACGGUUGCCCCUUCAACUGCUGCCUGCCCCUUUGCCUGCUGGCUUGCUUGGGCAGUCUGCCCCUUGCGCCUGCUGCUGGCUGCCUGGACGGGUCGCGAUCUGCCGGGGUAUCUGGCGGGUCGUGACACUACGCUCUGUAUACAUUAGCAUGGGAUAACAUUAUAGGAUUUCGGUCAUAUUACGUUGGCCUUCAGGAUCGGAGUAAUGAUUAACAGGGACAGUCGGGGGCAUUCGUAUUUCAUAGUCAGAGGUGAAAUUCUUGGAUUUAUGAAAGAUGAUCAACUGCGAAAGCAUUUUCCAAGAAUAUUUUCAUUAACCAAGAACGAUAUUUGGGGGCUCGAAGAUGAUUAGAUAUCGUCCUAGUCUCAACCAUAAACGAUGCUGACCAGGGAUCAACGGAUGUUGCUUUUAGGACUCUGCCGCCACCUUAUGAGAAAUCAAAGUUUUUGGGUUCUG